GCCCUACAUCGACCGGAAGGACGUAUAAAUGCUCGCGCCGGCACCUCCUGGUCCUCCUAGUGUCCAUGAACUCGUGGUGCGGGUUGUUUGCCCAGGUUCCACUGGAUCUGGACGUUGUUGCCGCCUCUCCGGCGAGAAUGGAAAGGCUCGGGUGUCCUCUUUUCUCAAAUAAAAUGGUUUAACUUA